UUUCUCCAAAACGAUUUAGAUGAGCUCAUA
rnacentral:piRNA from 1 species